GCCCAGGUGGCGAAACUGGUAUACGCGCAUGGUUCAGGUCUAUGUACUGAAAAGUUUGGAGGUUCAAAUCCUCUCCUGGGCACCA
rnacentral:tRNA from 1 species